UCUCCUUCUAUGUAACCGAUAUGGUCUAUAGUAGCCUAUUAUACCUCUGAAAUUGCAAAGCAAAGGCUUGUAAUACAGUGUUAACCUACUUGAGUUUGGCUCCGAAUUAACCAGCAUUCUAAUAUGUUUUUAAUCAAAUCAUUCCAUCCAAACUGAUCAAAUUCCAACACAGCAAAGUAGCUGUUAUUAUUUAAUGAGUUUUUUCAUCUAGUGAUAAGAUUACUCUCUGGGUUUAACCAAGUACGCCCCUUGUGGACAAAAUAUAACACCAGCAGAUUACAACAUGAGAAACAUCACAUUCAUAGCCUUGAACAUUACAAGCCUCUUCCAAAAACGCAUUCAUA